GGAUGUGAGGUGAUCUGGCUGCCACAUCUGCCACCCCAUUAAUUGCCAGGGUUGAUUCAGCUGAUCUGGGUGGCUAGGUGGGUGUCCACUGCCUCCCUCACCUCUCCAUGUGCAUCCCUCCCAAAGCUGCAUGGUUGGUGGAAGAGGAUGACCUUCCCCAAUAGAGGACUAUUCUUCGGUCAAAGAUAUAUGAGUAGCUGCGCUCCCCUUCUAGAACCUCCAAACAAGCUCUCAAGGACAGAGUUCUGGGACUUAGAAACUGUAAGAGGUAAAGGAGAUGAGGAGAAACCAUCUCAGAAGACUGAGAAGAGCUAGUGAGCUG
rnacentral:snRNA from 1 species